GACGCCGGGGGCCGCCGGGCCCGGGCCGGCCGGCCGGACAAAGGUCUCGCGACACUUGCGGCCGGGGAAGGGAGGGCGGCGAGCCUUCCGGGUCCAGACUUACAGCCGAUCCAGCAGUGAGACAGAGACACAGACUGGACUUGGUUUAGGAGGACCCAUGAUGUCAAGACUCAGACGACACCACCUAAACCCCCUGGUCCCCAAAUGUGACAACUAGCACAAUACAAGGAAGACACCGUCAUCUGAUCACAUGAACGCCAAGAAGGCAACAGAGGCUGGUUCCCAAACAACUCCUGUGCAGAAAUGGUGUCCUGCAGACAUCCGUAAGGGCUGGGCCAGCGCGGAGCAAGGACGCCUCCGCCCUAAACUCUGUGCACAGUCAUCAAAAAGAACUGUUUAUGCAGACUUAGCAAUGAUCAGUAAAAGGCUGUGAAAUCAAUGCAGAGGCCAUCCCGGCUGGGGCUCCCACAAGGGUCCGUCACACAGGAGCAGCACCCCGCUCUCCGCCCCCGACACUCUCACUUCAAACCUCCCCACUCCGAAGCCCCCACUCACAGGAGCCAGCAGUCAGCAGCCCCCGCUUGUCCCCUCCACUGCGCUCUGGGUCCUGCCUCCACUGCCCGGAACCAUGCCUUCUCCUCUCCCCCCAUCUUUGGGCUGCUCUUCUCCACACUCCCCUUCCCACCAGCACUUACAUCCAGCCACGUCUCUGCUGCUUGAAAUGGAGUAACAAAUACAACGGCUUCCUCCGGCCAAAUCCACCUGCUGCCGUGCCCGCACAGCCUUAUUUGUGGGGUGGGCAGUUGCCAUGGCCCUCCCCACACGCACCUACUCACUGCAAUCCAUGGCUCCCUAAAAGGCUCCCCAAACUGCCUUCAUCCAAGGCAUUGAGCACGUCCUUCCAAGAUCCUAAAGCCAACACAGGCUAUCACUCUUACUCAGGCCCUAAUGUGGAAGACUCAUUGGGAUAAGCACAGAUAUCACUCUCUAUGGUGUGUUUGACACAUCAAACUUCUUCCAGGAAACUCCUUAUGAGUUAAAAAUUGACAGAGGAUUGAAUAAAUAAAGCUCCUUCGGAUUAAAGAAA